CGGCCCUCAGUUUGUAUCUGUGUGUCGUGGUGGUGGUGCACACACACGCUCACACACGCAUGCACACACAAACAUACGCUUGAGAGAAACGGAAAGGAAAAUAGAAAGACUCAAAAAAAAAAAGAAAGAAAACGAAUCGAAAAAAACAAACAAAAAACAAACCAAACUAAACCAAAACAACGAUACAACAUGUCAUAACCACCACCACCACAACCACCACCACCACCACGACCACCACCACCAUGACAUCGCUUCCCAACGUGACCUCUGACCCCGCGGAUGAGCUUAGCGUGGCGGAGCAUCUGUCCCAGGAAGCCCACAUGCUGGACGUGACGGUGUGGCUAAUGAUAUUCUGCAUCUUCACUUUCUUCUUCAUCAUCAUCGUCGCUUCUAUCUGCAUGCACUGGAUGGAGGUGCGAAGUUACCACAGGUCAGGCGGCAUGGUGGUGAUUCCUCCUGGCCCUGUACCAGCCUGCAUCACCCUUCUCUCCUCCAACCAACCCCAUGUCAGGCUGCUAGACCACUACCACCUGCAACCCUUCUACGGCGCCUCCGUCAGUCCAGUUCGCAGCCAGUCCUCUCCUUCUCUCUCUAAAAACGCCACCGACAUCACAGCCAGCAGAGAGUGACGUCACAAGGAGGGCGUCACGUGACAAGGAGGCCGUUAUGUCGCUUCCUGCGCAGUUAGUGUUGCCAUAUCAAGAGUACUUAAUAUGGCAGUGUUGCGAAAUAUGUGCAACACGCCACUUGAAAAAUGUAAUUACUCUGUUAAAAUUUUGUUAUAUAAGUUAAUUGUUAUAAAUUUUUGAUGAUUGGAGAUUUUAUUGUGUUAAAGAAGAGUAUUGUUGUUGAAAUAUUGUUAGAAUGUUUGGGAAUAUCGUUACGAGAAUGCAUAGAAAUAAUAAUAGAAAACAUUGCAUUGAAAAGAAGGAACAAUAAACGAAAUUGGAAAAAAAUAUGAAGACUGAAAAAAAAUGAAGUUAAAGAAAUAUGAGAGAAGUUGUAAUAAUAUCCUAAAAUUAUAUAUAUAU